UAGGGUAGUCAUACAAUAUCCACUCUUUCUAUAAAGAAGAAGCAUCUUAAUUUUAUAUUUAAUUUACAAAGCUGGUUGGAAAACAAUCUGUUGAAUGAAUGCAUAUGGAGAAGUUUAUAGAGUAUCUGAAACAAGGAACAGAAGAUACAAGCCUUUUCUUAGUUCCCUAGCACCUUCCACUACAGAAAUGUCUGUGAUACUCACUGUAUCCAGAAAAUGGCAACAAAAGAGGAAAUGGAGAACCUUAAUGGAUAUUGUUUCCAAGGAAACAAAGCAUCGGAGAAUAGAAGAAAGCCAAGAGGGAUGUAAUUUCUUUUCCCCAAGAAAACAAGCAUAAAAGCAACCAAACUGGAUCGUUUGGAGGAACUUAAGUCAGAAGCAGGCCAACCCUAUAGAAAUGGACCUAGCAAAGACUACAGCAGACACUCAGUUUGGGAGAAGAGACCACCCCUUAAGAGAUUUAUUUAAUGCCUUCAUUUGUUACGUGGCUAAGGGAAUUAGUGUGUGAUAGAGUGCUGCUGGCAAGUUCUGAACUGCAGGGAAGAUGGCUGAAGAAAGAUUUCAAAGCUGUAUGAUGAUACUGGCAUGACAAAUGGAGCUUGAUUGCCUCAGAAAGGAACUGCUGUGGAAGAGAAAAAGGGGAUGGAGACUCUCUGGGAUCCUGCAUCAAUGGUAUCACUUGAAAAACUGAAGAAUCUUGCCAUCAAGAGGCAAGGAACUUUGAAUGCCUCCAAGAUAUCCCCACGUUAACAUUUUAAACGUGCACUUUUGAAGUAAAUCCAAUUUUACCCACAGCUACUGCACUUGAAUUCACAUUUCUGUGUUGGAUUACACAAAAAGUAGAAUGCUCUUAUUUGAAACUAAAAAGCAAAAGGUGUGUUCCCAUGCAGCCACUAAUGGGUAUUCUGUCUGUAAGAGCAAACUAGACUUAGUUCAAAAUAUGUGCCAUGCCUCAACAUGUGUACUGUAGAUAUCAAGUCCUUAGCACAAACUCUUUCACUAUAAAAAUGUGCUCCUCUUGAGCUUCAUAGCUUCAGAAAUCAUGCGAAUAUUUACUUUACAAGGAAGACUGAGACUGAGUUAUUUUUCUUGGUGGCUGUUUCAUUUCUUCAUACUUCCUUGAGUUUGAGAUGGCCUGCACACUUGAUCUUAAAAGACAUCAAUGUAUGUCUAUAAAGCACUUGAAAACAAAAUAGUGUUACAAUUCCUCAUAAAUUUUAUACAUAAAUUACUUUAAUUGCCACUGGAAUGCAAAAAGAACUUUAAACUGUAUUGCCAGUUUUUUUUUUUAAACUAAAUUCAUAUUACUUCAUAUUUUCAAUUCUGGUAUUUAAUUUGGCUCUAUGGGGUAUUCCCCAAGACAUACUGGAUGCACAAAAUACAAAGUAUUUAUAAUUUAAUGCUGUGCAGAAUUAUUGGUUUUAUUUUCAUUCAUCAAGAAAUAUGCAGUCCCACAUGGAUUCCACCCAUGAUCAAUAUGGUAACAUAGCACACACAAGUAAAGAAAUAUUCACAGAAAAGAAGAUGAGGUUUCUUAUAAAUCAAGGGGUACAAACUUUGAUAGUAUUUUAACUUUUGCAACAGAUUGUCCAAAAAUUAACAGCAUAAGGCAACAUUCUCCCUCCUUUUCUAAUUACUGUUGAGGAAGAUGGUAUGUUUCUAGCUAAUUGCCCAGUUAUACACUGCAUAUUACAAUAAAGCAUACAAGAUAGCAAGCUGACAUUUAUUCAUGAGGGCUGUGUAACAAAAGCUGCCAAUUGCUUUUCUUUGCCUAAGUCAUUUUAGAAUAAUAGGAGAUAUAUCAUUGUGCCAGUCCUGAAUUCAUGGAAAUUAUAAGGUAUAUCCCCCAAAAUCACUGUCUUUAUACUCUGGAAAAUAUUUAAUAUACCUUUCUAUUGUAAACACCAAGUUAACAUCAUAUUCUAGGUAAUGUUUACCCACACACAUUUUAAAAAAUAUUGAAACUGAUAAGGGAAAGAAAGAUGAAGUGAUAUACAUCUUGGGAAAAUACAGAACAAGAGAUAUAAUAUUUAUUUCAGAAUCUGCUAAAAACCUUUUUAAUGUUAAAGUUUAGAAAACAAAACUCUAUGAUCUUAGUUUCUGGCAUAAUAUAUCGUGUUUUAAAAGUAUCCAUUUAGCUAUGACUCUUACAUCUCAACAUAUGGAUUUCAGUCGAUAAAGUUAUCUUAACUCAAUAUAAGACUUUGAGAAAGUAUGUUAAAUUUUUCAGAAAUCAUUUGGAAACUGUUAUUGAGGGGUUGAACACUGAAUGAUUGAAGACCAAUGGAAAGAUGAAUGUAGGUUGUUUUAUAAAGAAUAUGGGAUAUUAAGAGUUUCAAAAGAGUGAGUGUGCAUGCUCCAGAAGUUUUAUAUUAGGAAAUGGUCAAAUAUUCUAUCUUCAAAUGGAAUGUUUUUUCAAUUUCUCAAAAUAUAUGGGAUUUAUUAUGUCUAUUUGUACCAUAAGCAUAAAGAUGAAGAUAAUAUUUUCUUUGUAUAAGUAGACUGUGAGGACUAUGAGGAUUUGGAAAAUAAAAUGAUUAUGUUAAAGGUGACAUUCAAACAGAAAUGUAAGUACAUUUUUAUAAUGAUUUGCAUGAGUUUAUAUCCAUAAAACAAAGAUAUAUUCAAAUUUAUUAAAGCCCAAAAUGAGCAUCUUUUAAAAUAAUACACUAAACUGCUGAGGACAUUAGAAAUAUGUAUUUUAGGGAAAAAGAAGAAUUACUAAAGAAAAUGGGGUUCCUCUGAGAUGUAAUAUGAAGUUCUUUUCUUCAUCCUACUUUUCUUUUUCUUUUGCAGUUACUUUUUUUUUU